AUUGAACGCUGGUGGCAGGCCUAACACAUGCAAGUCGAACGGUAACAGGAAGAAGCUUGCUUCUUUGCUGACGAGUGGCGGAAGGGUGAGUAAUGUCUCGGAAACUGCCUGAUGGAGGGGGAUAACUACUGGAAACGGUAGCUAAUACCGCAUAACGUCGCAAGACCAAAGAGGGGGACCUUCCGGCCUCUUGCCAUCGGGUGUGCCCAGAUGGGAUUAGCUAGUAGGUGGGGUAACGGCUCACCUAGGCGACGAUCCCUUGCUGGUGUGAGAGGCUGACAGGCCACACUGGAACUGAGACACGGUCCAGACUCCUACGGGAGGCAGCAGAGGGGAAUAUUGCGCAGUGGGCGCAAGCCUGAUGCAGCCAUGCCGCGUGUAUGAAGAAGGCGUUCGGGUUGUAAAGUACGUUCAGCGGGGAGGAAGGGAGUAAAGUUGAUACCUUGGCUCAUUGACGUUACCCGCAGAAGAAGCACCGGCUAACUCCGUG
rnacentral:rRNA from 1 species